rnacentral:lncRNA from 12 species
GGGGCAGCCCUCCCAGCACAGCUCGCUUUCCGCACCAGGCGUGGGGCUGGGCGCCGCGGCUCCCCUCUAGUGAGAAGCGGGACCAGCGGCGGCACCGCCAGCAGGGCGAGCAGGGGGCGAGGUGCGGCCCGGCUGGCACAGAGUGGCAGCGCAAGUUUUGGUGCCGUGCCCUGGCUGCCCUCACUCCAUCGGGGCUCUCCCCUCCGCUCGGGACUCCCUCUCCCGCCGCCCCGGGGGGCGGGCGCGGGCGGACGGGCCCGGCGAGGCAGCGCCGUCCUUACCUGUCGCCGAGCGCCCUGCAGCGCUCCGCUGCCGCCCGGCCCUCCGCAGGACGCUAUUCCCUCUCCCCGGUGUAUCGCUCGCUGUCCGCAAGCCUGAGGCUGUUUCCCCUCGUCCAGCCUCGCCUCCCCGCCGGCAGCGGCCGGGCAAAUCUCCGCAGCAGCCGGGGAGGGUGCGGGUGCUCCCUGUCCCGCGCCGCGGAAAGCCGCGGUCAGGCGGGACAGAGCGCGCCCGACAGGUUUCGGUCCGGAUCGCGGUCCGGAUCGCAGCCCAGACGUGCCGAGAUCAUCUUCUGUGGGGUUUUUUAUCUCCCAGGUUUUUUUUUACCCCCCGCCCCAAGCUUUCCACCAGAGCCGGCCGGGAGCGGGAUGGGAUAGGGUUAAGCUGACCUAAACUUGGGUCGUGCUGCGCAGGGGGCCGGGGCCGCCAGCACCGAAGACCCGUGUGUCAGUACCACCGGUUGUUCCACGCGCCGCAACCUGAUGCUCGAUUUCGUGUUUAUUU